rnacentral:lncRNA from 1 species
GUAUUUUGAGAAAAACAAAAAGCGAAUCAGUAAUUGAAGAAUCCCUUUCCCUCCCAGAUCCUAAGAUUUUCCUCUAGUUUCUAUCCCAUGCAUUGUUCUUCUCCCUUUUGAUUGAGGCAGUCAGGCGUGGUGAAGGGAAGAGAUAGAGCAGUGUGAGUGGUAACCGGCUGGUGGGGAAACAACGGCCUAUUUUUGAAGUAAGGGAGAUGUCUGUCGUGUUUUUUUGGUUGGUGAAGGGAGGUGGGGGUGAGUCGUUGUAGCGGAAUAAGGCUGGGGUCGUCUUCGUUGCUUGGGGUCGGCUGAAUUUUGUUGAAGCAAAAGAAGGAGCAAUGAUGGCCGGCGGGUGAAGAGGCCGUUGAUUUGGUGGUCAAGAGGGGGGAGUCG